rnacentral:rRNA from 1 species
GACGAACGCUGGCGGCGUGCUUAACACAUGCAAGUCGAACGAUGAACCCGGAGCUUGCUCUGGGGGAUUAGUGGCGAACGGGUGAGUAACACGUGAGUAACCUGCCCUGGACUCUGGGAUAAGCGUUGGAAACGACGUCUAAUACCGGAUAGGACCUUGGAUCGCAUGAUCUGGGGUGGAAAGUUUUUUCGGUCUGGGAUGGACUCGCGGCCUAUCAGCUUGUUGGUGAGGUAAUGGCUCACCAAGGCGUCGACGGGUAGCCGGCCUGAGAGGGUGACCGGCCACGCUGGGACUGAGACACGGCCCAGACUCCUCCGGGAGGCAGCAGUGGGGAAUAUUGCACAAUGGGCGAAAGCCUGGUGCAGCAACGCCGCGUGCGGGAUGACGGCCUUCGGGUUGUAAACCGCUUUUAGUAGGGAAGAAGGGCUUCGGCUUGACGGUACCUGCAGAAAAAGGACCGGCUAACUACGUG